AUCAGGAAGGUUUCUUACUAUUAUUAGAAUUCGACUAUGGAAUAGAAGCUUAGGAGGGGAGGUGGUAUAGGAUGGGAUUAUGUUGCAUGUCUUCUCCCAGACUGCUUGUUUGCUUUGUUACACUUCCUUGCAAGCAUAUUUUUAGGAGAAGUUGAGUGUACCAGAUGGUACUUUAUCUAGUGCACAUUUUAAAGGACACAAAGUUAGUUGUAGCACUGGUGAAGCCAUCAAAGUGGUGUGACCACAGGUGUAACAAUCAAAAGGGGUAACCCACAUGGUGCAGUUGACUGUCCUCAUUGAAAACAAGAUAAAAUGAUGAAUAGCAGGUUUUGAAACUCAAGUGAAUCUCUACACAGACACACUCUUUCAGAAAUAUAGUAGCCCAAGGCAAGUAUCUGCAGGAGUGUAAUGCAUAUGGAUUCACAGCUUUAGUUCAUAAGA